rnacentral:rRNA from 1 species
UACGGAGGGUGCGAGCGUUGUCCGGAAUCAUUGGGCGUAAAGGGCGCGUAGGUGGCCCGGUCAGUCUUUGGUGAAAGCGCGGGGCUCAACCCUGCGUCGGCCAGGGAUACUGCCGCGGCUCGAGCACUGUAGAGGCAGGCGGAAUUCCGGGUGUAGCGGUGGAAUGCGUAGAGAUCCGGAAGAACACCGGUGGCGAAGGCGGCCUGCUGGGCAGUUUUGCUGGACACUGAGGCGCGACAGCGUGGGGAGCAAACAGG